rnacentral:rRNA from 1 species
GAUGAACGCUGGCGGCGUGCCUAAUACAUGCAAGUCGAGCGAACGGACGAGAAGCUUGCUUCUCUGAUGUUAGCGGCGGACGGGUGAGUAACACGUGGAUAACCUACCUAUAAGACUGGGAUAACUUCGGGAAACCGUAGCUAAUACCGGAUAAUAUUUUGAACCGCAUGGUUCAAAAGUGAAAGACGGUCUUGCUGUCACUUAUAGAUGGAUCCGCGCUGCAUUAGCUAGUUGGUAAGGUAACGGCUUACCAAGGCAACGAUGCAUAGCCGACCUGAGAGGGUUAUCGGCCACACUGGAACUGAGACACGGUCCAGACUCCUACGGGAGGCAGCAGUAGGGAAUCUUCCGCAAUGGGCGAAAGCCUGACGGAGCAACGCCGCGUGAGUGAUGAAGGUCUUCGGAUCGUAAAACUCUGUUAUUAGGGAAGAACAUAUGUGUAAGUAACUGUGCACAUCUUGACGGUACCUAAUCAGAAAGCCACGGCCAACUACGUG